ensembl:snRNA U6 U6 spliceosomal RNA
UUGCUUUGGCAGCAUUUGUACUAAAAUUGGAAUGAUACAGAGAAGAUUAGCAUGGUCCCUGAACAAGGAUGACAUGCAAAUUCGUGAAGCGUUCCAUAGUCUA